rnacentral:snoRNA from 1 species
GACAUUUGAGGAAAAAAAAAGAAAUAUGAUGUUACUGAAAACUGACAAGAUCCAUGUCUAAUGGCAUAAUGGAC